rnacentral:rRNA from 1 species
AGCUUAUCAUGCAAGUCGAACGACAAAGUUUCCUUCGGGGAACAAGUAGAGUGGCGCACGGGUGAGUAACGCGUAGGUAAUCUACCCUUAUAUCUGGGAUAACAUUGGGAAACUGGUGCUAAUACCGGAUACACUUUUCUGCUGCGGGGCAGAAGAGGAAAGGUGGCCUCUUGGUCAAAGCUACCGUAUAGGGAUGAGCCUGCGUACCAUUAGCUAGUAGGUGGGGUAACGGCCCACCUAGGCCACGAUGGUUAGCGGGUCUGAGAGGAUGAUCCGCCACACUGGAACUGGAACACGGACCAGACUCCUACGGGAGGCAGCAGUGAGGAAUAUUGCGCAAUGGGGGAAACCCUGACGCAGCGACGCCGCGUGAGUGAGGAAGGUCUUCGGAUCGUAAAGCUCUGUCAGAAGGGAAGAAGUGCUAUGUAGUUAAUACCUGCGUAGUUUGACGGUACCUUCAGAGGAAGCACCGGCUAACUCCGUGCCAGCAGCCGCGGUAAUACGGAGGGUGCGAGCGUUGUUCGGAAUUACUGGGCGUAAAGGGCGCGUAGGCGGCUGGAUAAGUCAGAUGUGAAAGUCCAUGGCUCAACUGUGGAAGUGCAUUUGAAACUGUCCGGCUUGAGUAUCGGAGGGGAGUGUGGAAUUCCCGGUGUAGAGGUGAAAUUCGUAGAGAUCGGGAGGAACACCGGUGGCGAAGGCGACACUCUGGACGAAUACUGACGCUGAGCGCGAAAGCGUGGGGAGCAAACAGGAUUAGAUACCCUGGUAGUCCACGCCGUAAACGAUGUGACUAGAGUAGGUGGUGUGAUCCCAUCUGUCUCCGCAGCUAACGCAUAGUCACCCGCCUGGGGAGUACGUCCGCAAGAAUAAACUCAAAGAUGACGGGGCCCGCACAAGCGGUGGAGUUGUGUUAUCGACGCACCGGGAAGACUACUGCCUGACUUCGAGAUCUCUGAAAGGAGUUGCUCAUAAAUGAACUUGGUACGUGCUGCAUGGCUG